GACAGAGGAUGCAAGCGUUAUCCGGAUUCAUUGGGCGUAAAGGGUGCGUAGGCGGCGCGGUAAGUCGGGUGUGAAAUCUUGGAGCUUAACUCCGAAACUGCAUUCGAUACUGCCGUGCUUGAGGACUGGAGAGGAGACUGGAAUUUACGGUGUAGCGGUGAAAUGCGUAGAUAUCGUAAGGAAGACCAGUGGCGAAGGCGGGUCUCUGGACAGUUCCUGACGCUGAGGCACGAAGGCCAGGGGAGCAAACGGG
rnacentral:rRNA from 1 species